UACAGAGGGGGCAAGCGUUGUUCGGAAUUACUGGGCGUAAAGGGCGCGUAGGCGGCCUUCUAAGUCGAACGUGAAAUCCCCGGGCUCAACCCGGGAACUGCGUCCGAUACUGGAAGGCUUGAAUCCGGGAGAGGGAUGUGGAAUUCCAGGUGUAGCGGUGAAAUGCGUAGAUAUCUGGAGGAACACCGGUGGCGAAGGCGACAUCCUGGACCGGUAUUGACGCUGAUGCGCGAAAGCCAGGGGAGCAAACGGG
rnacentral:rRNA from 1 species